AGAACAGCACAGGAAAGACCAGCCCCCAUGAUUCAAUUACCUCCCACAACAUGUGGGAAUUCAAGAUUAGAUUUGGGGGGAUACAGCAAAACCAUAUAAAGGGAAGGAAGAGUGAGCAGGGCCUGUUGUCUUAUGCCAUAAAAUUCAUUCAGUUAUUUACUUCUAAACUUUGGAUAUGCAUUACUUUUAUUAAAAACCUCAAAGUCCUUGGUAUUUGGAAUCAGAAUUCUGGGUUCAUUCUCGGUUCUGUCACUUCUGUGAGAGGGUUUGACCUCACAGCUUCAUUUUUCUUAUUUGUAAAAUGGAGACUGUAUCACUGGCUAAGUAAGCGGAUCGUGAAGAUCAGAAAGACUAAAUGUCCAAUGAUGAGCACAUCAGCUGGAAAAUGGGUAAAUGCUUUAAAUCACUAUGAAGAAAAUCUGUGUGGCAGAAUGGGAGAUGCACAUGUGGGCAUUGUCAGGGGACAGCCCCUGUGUUAGGCUCUGCUUAGCCCCUCAGACUACCUGUGAGACCCUGGACAAGUUCUUCAACCUCUUUACUACUCAUUGUAUUCCCCUGUCGAAGGAGGAUAUGAAACAAUCCUCAUCUUACAAUUAUUGCAGGGAGUAAAAUAGAAAGCAAACUCCCGUACCCGGGUACCCAGUACAGGUUAAGUGCCUAAUCAAUGAUGGCUAGUUGUGUUGUAUUAUUGAUGAAAUUAUAUUGACAUUAUAACAAUAUAUCUUAAUAUAAAAAUUGUAGGUUAGUUUUAUUGUUGCUAUUCAGUUUCAAAAUUAUGUUAAUGAAUAUUUGAUGACCUGAGAAAGCUUUAGUAAAUAAUGGUAAUAAAAAAAGAAGCAGUAUUAAAUGAUAGUACCCAGCCUUCAAUCACUGUCUAUUCAGGGAGGGAGGGAGGGAGGGACGGAAGAAAGAAAGAAAGAAGGAAGGAAGGAAGGAAGGAAGGAAGGAAGGAAGGGCUCUUGUUUUAGUAAGUGAGUACAUAUAAAUAAAAACAACAAGGAAAGUAGAGCAAAUGUUAGCACUGCUUGUCCCUGGAGGGUCAUCUACAGGUGAUUUUCUUUUAUUUUUCCUUUGUGCCUUCUGUAGCUUCCAAAUUUGUGUAAAUGAAUCUCUAUUGCCUUUGUCAUCAGAUAAGAGCACAAAAAAUGAUAUCUGAAAUCACAGGUUUGGAAUAGAGAAAAUAAUUUUUCAUAUUUUACCUUGUAAUCAUAUUUCUGGCUUAGGGGUAUCUAAAAUCCAUUUCACAUAACAAUAAUCAACCACAAAAUGAUUCUUCUUAGCAAUUAUUGUACUUUUCUAUGAUUGGGUAAAUUUUCUGCAGACACUCUCUGCAUCAGAUAAACAUUGAGUUCCACUGCAUGUAAAUAGUAGUGAUUUAAAUAAAAUAUGUGUUUAAUUUCCUCACAUGUGACACACAACUUAGAAGUAGGCAAGGUGGGCUGGAGAAGAGCUCCACAAUGUCAUCAAUGCCAUCUUUCUGCUUGGUCAUCCUAGAUGCAUGGCUUCCACCCUCAAGGUUGUCUCAUGGUUUCAAGGUGGCUGCUGCAGCUCCCAUCAUUUCUUCCUCAUUCCAGGUGAAGAGAAGUUUUGAGGGAUCUUUGGGGUAUCACUUUUCUGGCUGGAAAUCUCUGUGGCUGGUGGCACCUUUGCCCAAGUUUUGCUUGGGCCUGCUGGGUUCAUUUUUCCCACUUGUCCUGGCAGGCUGUGCUUGGCUCACACUACCAGCCUAGAUCCCAUGCCUGCCAAAGGCAGCAAGGCAUGGAGUGGCAAGGGGUGUGUGAGUGAACCAGCGAGGGGUCCAGCCACCGUGCACAGUCAGGCACACCAGCUGCUGCAAUGGGGUGGGCAGCUCCAGGUGCCGGCGUGGGCACCGACUCUCUGCGAGGCUGUGGCUAGACCAGGUGCACCACAGGUAGCUUCCAUGGCUGCCACUGGGGAAUGCGGUGGCACACGGAAGCUUGGAGAAUCCAGGAACCACUGGGCCCCAAAGAGGAAGUCACAGCCUUGGCUCAGGGAGCUCCCAGGUCUGGGCUUACUGAAGGGCUGAAGCUCUUCUCUUCUCUUCAACCACAACAUGGCGAGCAAGGGGUAUGUUUCAGCCCUGUUUGUGUUAUAGCUCUUUCAGCCUGCCUUCCGCAGGUCCCAAGUUCUUAUCCUGCGUCCAAGAAGAAUGAAGCACGCAGACAAGUGGAGGGUAAGCAAGGUGAAGAGGAGCUUUAUUGAGUGACACAGUAGCUCAGAGGAGGCCCAGGAGUGGGUAGCUCCUCUCUGCAGCUGGUCAUCCUGAUGUCUGCUCAGCUUUGGCUGAACCUGGGGCUUGUAUGGGCUUCAGAGGGGAGGAAGUGUAUGCCAGUUGGUCCAUGGAUGGCCAUGAAUGGCCUGGAAAAGGCACCACAAGUUCCCACUCUGGUCCGUGGGACCGGCAGCUGGGCCCCCAGCCUACAGAUCCUCCCUCCCUGAAGGAGGGCCUGAAGGUGGUGCCUCACUGGGGAUCUGCCCCCUUCCACCCAGGAACCUCUCUGCCUCCUGCUGCCAUUCAUGGCGCCCAGGCUGUAGGUGCCAAGAGGCACCUGCAGGCCAGCCAUAAGCUGCCUUCAGCACCCCUUUGGCUUCCCUCCUAUGCUUAUUGGUGUCCAAAGUCCAGAGGGGGCUGAGGCAGUGGGGGGCUGGCAUGUCAGCACCGCCCAAAGUGUGUGCACACCUGGCGAAGCUGUGACUUGGCCCUGACUUUGCUCUGAGAUCGGAGCAGGCACCAACAGCAGGGAGAAGCCAGGCAGUGGGAGCAGGCAUUUCUGAGCCUGCAAGGGCAUGGGGGCCUUCCUGGACCCCCAAGAGUGCAGAGAUUCCUGAGUCUGCAGCUGUGGUUUGGGAGGCUGUAGCUGUGGCCACAGGGGUGGGGCUCCUGCCUGCUCCAUGGAGUAGAAGGCCUGGUUCCACAGUCACAACUUGGGCAGCUGUGGCUGCACCAGGGAAGCUCCUUCCCCACCAAUCUGGAAGGUGCAGGGCUCCCACUUGUCCCUGGCUCCCACCAGCUCCAUGGAGUAUGCCUCCUUGCUGCAGCCAGCAUGAUGGCAGCAGCCACUCUAGACAGGCUGCUGCUGCCAUCAGAUGGAGAAAGCAAUAGAGCAAAGUGUAAUAGCUAUGUCAGUUCCCUUUUUUUUUUCAAUUUUAUUAUUAUUAUACUUUAAGUUUUAGGGUACAUGUGCACAACAUGCAGGUUUGUUACAUAUGUAUACAUGUGCCAUGUUGGUGUGCUGCACCCACUAACUCGUCAUUUAGCAUUAGGUAUAUCUCCUAAUGCUAUCCCUGCCCCAUCCCCCCACCCCACAAUGGUCCCUGGUGUGUGAUGUUCCCCUUCCUGUGUCCAUGUGUUCUCAUUGUUCAAUUCCCACCUAUGAGUGAGAACAUGCGGUGUUUGGUUUUUUGUCCUUGCGAUAGUUUGCUGAGAAUGAUGGUUUCCAGUUUCAUCCAUGUCCCUACAAAGGACAUGAACUCAUCAUUUUUUUAUGGCUGCAUAGUAUUCCAUGGUGUAUAUGUGCCACGUUUCCUUAAUCCAGUCUAUCGUUGUUGGACAUUUAGGUUGGUUCCAAGUCUUUGCUAUUGUGAACAGUGCCGCAGUAAACAUACGUAUGCAUGUGCCUUUAUAGCAGCAUGAUUUAUAGUCCUUUGGGUAUAUACCCAGUAAUGGGAUGGCUGGGUCAAAUGGUAUGUCUAGUUCUAGAUCCCCGAGGAAUUGCCACACUCACUUCCACAAUGGUUGAACUAGUUUACAGUCCCACCAACAGUGUAAAAGUGUUCCUGUUUCUCCACAUCCUCUCCAGCACCUGUUGUUUCCUGACUUUUUAAUGAUUGCCAUUCUAACUGGUGUGAGAUGGUAUCUCAUUGUGGUUUUGAUUUGCAUUUCUCUGAUGGCCAGUGAUGGUGAGCAUUUUUUCAUGUGUUUUGUGGCUGCAUAAAUGUCUUCUUUUCCCUUUUAAGAGCUUUUCCAGAAGCCCCACUUAGUGACAUCUUCUUGCAAAUCAUUUCCCAAUUCUCCUCUCUUCCUCAUCCCUGCAGCACCUUACCUCCUGUUGGACUAGAAAAUGGAUUUUUAUUUGUAAUGGUUUUUUUUGCCAAUUUUGUUAUUUGUGGUAUAAUCUUUAUACUAAAUCUUUAUACAGAACUGAGUCCCAUGACCACCCCAACUUGCAAGGGAUGAUAAGAAAGGUCAUUUUAAAUUGGGACUCUCUAGUAUGAUAGAAAGGGAGAAAGGGUUUGGGUAGGUAACUCGUCUCUGCCAAAUUCCCAUGUGGCCAGUAGGGAACCAGAGAUGGUCCAGCCUCUUCUCUUGCAGGGAGAGGAAGCUCCUGUCUUCUGCAUAGAUUCCUGCUUCCUCCUGAUAACUCUGUGUUUUGAGUAAUGAAUAAUAAUAUCAGAAGCAAACAUUACCUGUUACUGUUCUCAUUUUUAUAUCUGAGGAAACUGGGCUCAGAUGAGUAAUUCCCUCAGAGUCACCAGCUUAGCAAAUUCCAGAGUCAGGCUUCUAACUCAUCUGUCUGACUCGGAAGCCUGUGUUCUUUCUAACACACCAUACUGACUUCCCUGGCCUGAAAGUGGAAUCAUUAUCUAUUUAUUCUUUCAACCAUUUCUGUGUGUCAUUUAUUUAUGGGCAUCUAGUAGAUAUUCAGUAAAUGUUUGUUCAAUGGAUGAAUGAAUGAAUGAGCGAAUGUCUCCUGGAGAGGAGCUCACUAUCUACAUGGGGACACAGAUCCCAUACAGGGCCAUCUAUAGGUGUUGUGAAGCAUUGUGGAAGGAAGCCCCCUUUCUGGGAGUGCCUCAGGUAAACUACACGAAGAAUAGAACGUUGCACCUGAGCCUGGAGGGCCGAGCAGCAGGCUGUGUCAGUGAAGGGUGUUGGAAGCAGAAGGAACAGCAUGUGCUCAGGCUUGAGGUGCAGUGCCAGUGCUGUAGGGAUUUUACUGUGGCUGGAGAGACAGGAGUGAGGAGGCUCUGAAGCUAAGGGAGCCAGGGUGGGCAGGGCUGGUGCUGGGGGCUGCAGGGCUGGAUCUGUAUGUCCUUGGGAGGAACAGGUUGAGAAACCGAGUUUUGAUCUGUGGGUCCCAAUCCUGAGCAUCCAACGGUGGUCACUCACUCCAUGUUUUCCCCACAGUAUUGGUAACUCCUCACCCCCUCUCUUCUCUGUUUAGUUCUCUGUGAUUCUAUUUUUGGAGUUUACAAAGUGAACAUCCAGUGUGAUAUGCGGAGAACUCUGGUGAUUUGUCCUGAAGCUGUUUCAUUUUUUUUGAAUUAUGGGAGUCUACUCUUCCCUCUUGGGGACCUGGGAGGAUUGAACAGCCAAGGGCUUCCCACGGAGUCACUCUCAGCUCUCUGACUCCUGCACUGAUUGUGUUGCACUUGUUUUGAAGGCUAAUGAGUAUGGGAGGUACCCAAACUUUCCACAGAAUUGCACCUCUUGUGUGCGUGCAUGUGUGUGGGGGGUAGCAUGAGACGGAUAAUCAAAUUAUUUCCAGAGAAAAUAAAUUUGAAUCUCAGAGGGCUCUGUGAAAGCAGGGACCAAUCAAUUCCUUCUGCUGUUGAUCCACUAUUUGACAACUUGCAGAUAAAGGUUGUGAAAACAGAAUUUUCUCUCUUUUUUUUUUUUUCCAUAACAACUUCAUUUCCAUUUCUAGCCAACAUUCAUUUUGCAAAAAGCCUUAGGUUGUGGCCAGGUAAGCCCUGUCAAAUUCAGUGAUUUCCUAGUUAAUUUUAGUUUAAACUCAGGUGACCGCAGGGUGUCUCCCUCCCUCUUCUCUCAUAGAUUUCAGUUUUCAUGUGGCAAGUGGGUGUCUGGUGCCCAGUUCCACCGCGUGAGCACCUGGAGGUGCACAAUUUGCCGACCUGAUGUUCUGAGGUCGAUCUCCUGUCCACUGGUCACGAGGGUGCCCACACUGUCACCUGUGCUUGGGUCUCCUCAUGAUGGCCCUGGAGCCCUCGGGCUUAGCUGAGACCUGAGGCCUGAGGCCUGCACCCCUUUCUGGGCACAAGAAAUGUGCUAUGCAGGGGUGGUGGAUGCUGUGAGAGUGUCCUGCCCAGAUGCCCCUCGCAGCCCUGGUGCCAACCCCACAGGGGCUGGAACUGCAAUUAAUAAGCAGGUACCAUUUCCCUCUCCGGUUCCCCUGACCUCUUACCUACCUGGGGUUUCUAUAAUAUUCCCUAUUAUCCCCCACCCCUAUGGUUCUUCCUGGAGGGAUUUGGUGUGGAACUCCUUCUGGAACACACUCCCAUCAGCCCCUUUCCCGAUUCUCCUCUCUUCCUCGUCCCCCUGGCACCUUACCUCCUGUUGGGCUAGGAAACUGGUUUUUAUUUGUAAUGUAUUUUUGCCAAUUUUGUUAUUUGUGGUAUACUCUGUAUACUAAGAACCUCUCCCCACCAACUCCUAGGUGUGUGAAACACUUCGAACCCUGCAGGCUAGCCUCUUGCCGUUGAAUGCUUUGGGCUUCAAAAUUGUGUCUUCUAUGGAUUUCAAGAGCUUAUUUUGGAAGUCAGUGGCUGAGAAUUUAACCCUGAUCUUCACUGUGUCAUUAAGAAGGGAAGAGUGUGUUUAUGGAGUGCUCCUGCCGGCUUGGGGUGGAUGGUGAUGGUACAAUGUGGGUAGGGAUGGGAGAGACUUUGGUUAGACCAGGAUUGUAUCCUGUUCCAGGUCAGGGAACCAAGAGAGCUUCUGGCAGUACCUGGUAGGGACUCCAGAGAUUGGGUUAAUUGAGUGGAUGUCUGAAAAAUGAGAACUUACCUGCAAGUUUGUCCCAAACAUAGAUGAGUUACCUCGGACUGAGCAGUGCAAUCGUUGGAGCCUCUGUUUGCGUAAUAGUAAGUCAGAAAAAUACAGAAUUCUGCUCUGCCCGCAUCACUUAACAGUGUGGGUGGAGGGGAGAAGUGUGGGAGGACUUGUUUACAUUGCAGGGCAGAGAAAAUCAUUGGUUACCGAUGCUGCUGAUCCUUUCAGUGGCCCUGGAACACCAAGGAAGGGCCUGGGAGAGCUGCUGUUGUUCCUAUGAGCCCAGCUGUGGGCACACUGCGCUGACACAAUGUCAUGGCCCUCAUGACGAGGAUGACUUGGAGGAGCCAAUCCUGACAACUGACCCUGUUGCCAGGGACUGUGAGUAGCACUUCAUGUGUAAUAACCGUGAAUGCCUCACAACAGCUCUGCAAGGUCGGGUCUACUAUUAUCAUCCCCAUUUUAUAGAUGGGGAAACUGAGGCACGAUCAUCAAAUACUGGGCACAGACUCUCCAGUGUGUAGGUGAUGGAGCCAGGCUUAGAACCUGGGCAGUCUACUCCAUGAACCUGCAUCCUCCUCAGAUGACAAGGAAAAGGAAAACAAGGCUCAGAGAUGAUAACUGACCUGCCCAGAGUCACCAAGCUGGCGAGAGGCACUGCGAGGCCUGGGAUGCCGAGUUUACAUUGGCAAACACACCCAUACACAUCAAAAACCUUGCUUCAAGCCAUGGUAGGAAGGUGGAGAGGCUGAGACACAAGGAUGUGAAGUCCUUCCUGCAUAUUCCAAACAUGUACGGAGGGAAAGGAAGCCACGUGCUUUCAAAGAAGCUUGGUUUCAACCUUUCUGAAUCAUCUUAUUCCAGCACUCGCUCUCUUCAAGUCUCUGCUCAAACAUCGUCUUUCACUGAGACCUGCCUGACCCCGUUCUUUGAAAUAACUGCUUCCGAGCUUCCCUCUCACUGUGUUCGUCACCACUGGACGCACUCCCUAUUGAUCUGAUGGGUGUUUAUUGUCUGCAGCCUGGCGCUGGACUGUCAGCUCCAUGGGAACAAAGACUUUGUGGGGCUUGAUCUCAGCUGUAUCCCCAGUGCCUAGAACAGUGCCUGGCACCUCCUAGGCAGUCAAUGAAUAGUUGUGGAAUGAAUGCAGAUGAGUGAAUCCGUGAAAUUGCUUCUCUUUUUUGCCUACCCUGAUUCCUCCCUUAAAAAGUCGUAUUCUUACAGAGCAAUGUUAUCACUAUAGUCACCUAACACUCUGCUGUCGGAAAAGGCCAGCGGCAGCUGGAAAAGCUAAAAUUAAAAUUUAAAAAUUCAUUAGCAUGGAUGAGUGUGCAAUGAUGGGGAAUGCUUAGACCCUGGUUGAGGGAGGGAGCCUAAAACCUAAAGGGCUUCUCUGAAAAGAAGCUCUGCCUCCCCACAAGCUUGCCAGCAGUAGAUGGUGUCCACGUUUUAGAAUUCUGGCGAUCUGAUGGGUGAGACAUUGUAUUUUAAGGCAGUUAAAAAAACUGUAUUGAGGUAUAAUUCAUAUAUAAUAAAUCGCACAUAGUUAAGAUAUACACUUUGGUGUGCUUUGAAAUAUGGAUAUGACUGUGAAACCAUCACCACAAUCAAGACAAUGAACAUCUCCAUCCUCCCCCAAAAUUUCCUUGUGGCCCUUGGUAAAUUCCUCCCUCUAGGGCACCCCCUUGCCCACACCCAGGUAACAGCUUACCUGCUCUAUCACUGUAGAUUCGUUUGCAUUUUAAAGCAUUUUAUAUAAAUGGAACCAAACAGCAUAUACUCUGACUUCUUUCACUGAACAUAAUUAUUUUGAGUUUCAUCCACAUGUCGCAUGUAUCAAUGGUUCAUUAUUUUAAUUGCAGAGCAGUAUGGAUGUACCAUACAUUGUUUACACAUUCACCUGUUGAUGGAAAUCUGGGUCGGUCUAGGUUGCAGCCAUUACAAAUAAACCUGCUGCAAACGUUUGUGUAUGUAUUUGUGUGAACAUAAACUUUCAUUGCUCUUGGAUAUAUAGCUGGUGGAAUGGCUAGAACAUAUGACAGGUGUAUACUAAGCAUUGUAAGAAUCUGUCAAACAGCUUUCCACAGUGUUUGCACCACGUUACAGUCCACUAGCCAUGGAGGGGAGUUCUGGUUCCUCCACAUUCUCACACACCUUGAGUGUGGUCAGUCUUUUAAAUUUUACUUAUGCUAAUAGUCAAGCAGCGAUUUCUCUUUGCAGUUUUAAUUUGGAUUCAUGUGUUUGUCUGCCAACCAUUUGUCUUCUUUGGUGGAGUGUCUGGUUAGAUCUUUUGGGUUGUUUAUUUUAUUAUAUUUGAGUUUUGAGAGUUCAUUGUAUGUUCUAGAUACAAUGUCUUUGUCAAGUAUAUGGAUUGGGAAUAUUUUCUCCAAUUCUGCAGUUUGUCUUUUCAUUCUUUCAGCGGUAUCUUUUGAAGAGCAGAAGUUAUUAAUUUUGAUAAAGUCCAAUUUGUCAACUUUUUCUUUUAUGGAUUUUGCUUUGGUGUCUAAGAAAUAUUUGCUCAACUCAAGGUCACACUUUAAAGUGUGUGUGUGUGUGUGUGUGUGUUUUUGUAGUAUAUGGUGCAAGCUAUGAAUCAAAGUUCCUUUCUCUUUGUUUGCACAUGCAAUUGUACAACAUCAUUUUUUGAAAAGACUGUUUUUUCCAUGGAAUUGAAUUCCGCCUUUGUUGAAAAUCAGUCAUAUACAUAUGAGUGAGUGUAUUUAUAUAUCUCUCUUCUGUUUAAUUGAUCUAUUUGUUUAUUUUGACACCAAUAGCACCAUUUCCUGAUUACUGUAGCUUUAUGAUAAGUCUUAAAUCAGGUUGUGUUAGAUGUAUAUAUUUUUUUCUUUUGCAAAGUAAGUUGUUUUGGCUAUCAUAGGUCCAUUGCAUUUCCAUGCAAAUUUUAGAAUUACUUCUCAAUUCUGACCAAAAUAUCCUGCUGUGAUUUUGAUUCAGAUUGUGUCGAAUCUAUAGAUCAGUUUAGGGAGAAUUUACAUCUUAACAAAUAUUGUGUCUUCCAAUCCACAAAUACAGUAUAGCUCUUCAUUUACUUAAAUGUUUAAAAUUUUCCUUCAGCAAUGUUUUACAGGUUUCAGUGUACUUUUGUCAGAUUCAUCCAUAAAUAUUAAGUAUUGGAAUACUACUAGUAAUCACACUGCCUUUUAAAAUUCCAGUUUCUGUUUUUUAUUACUAAAUCAUAGAAAUCCAAUUGAUUUUUGUUGGUUUAGUUGAAUCUUUCAAGCUUUCUAGGCUUACUGAUUAGCUUUAGUGGCUUUUUUGUGGAUUCUAUCAGGUUUUCUAUUUAGACAACCAUGGUGUUGUUGAAUAAAGACAGUUUUAAAUUU